rnacentral:rRNA from 1 species
AGGACUAACGCUGGCGGCGUGCCUAACACAUGCAAGUCGAACGAGGGGUAGCAAUACCCCUAGUGGCAGACGGGUGAGUAACACGUAGUCAACCUACCUCUUAAUGGGGGAUAACUAGCCGAAAGGUUAGCUAAUACCGCAUACGAUCGUCGAGUGGCAUCACACGACGAUGAAAGGAGCAAUCCGUUGAGAGAGGGGACUGCGUCCCAUUAGUUAGUUGGUGGGGUAAUGGCCUACCAAGACUCCGAUGGGUAGCUGGCUUGAGAGAGCGACCAGCCACACUGGAACUGAGACACGGUCCAGACUCCUACGGGAGGCAGCAGUGAGGAAUUUUCCGCAAUGGGGGAAACCCUGACGGAGCGACGCCGCGUGUGGGAAGAAGGCCUUCGGGUCGUAAACCACUGUCGAGGGGGACGAUAGUUGACGGUACCCCUGGAGGAAGCCCCGGCUAACUACGCGCCAGCACGCCGC